rnacentral:rRNA from 1 species
GCAAGUCGAGCGGCAGCACAAGUGAGUUUACUCAUGAGGUGGCGAGCGGCGGACGGGUGAGUAAUGCCUAGGGAUCUGCCCAGUCGAGGGGGAUAACAGUUGGAAACGACUGCUAAUACCGCAUACGCCCUACGGGGGAAAGAGGGGGACUUUCGGGCCUCUCGCGAUUGGAUGAACCUAGGUGGGAUUAGCUAGUUGGUGAGGUAAUGGCUCACCAAGGCGACGAUCCCUAGCUGUUCUGAGAGGAUGAUCAGCCACACUGGGACUGAGACACGGCCCAGACUCCUACGGGAGGCAGCAGUGGGGAAUAUUGCACAAUGGGGGAAACCCUGAUGCAGCCAUGCCGCGUGUGUGAAGAAGGCCUUCGGGUUGUAAAGCACUUUCAGUAGGGAGGAAAGGGUAAGUCUUAAUACGGCUCAUCUGUGACGUUACCUACAGAAGAAGGACCGGCUAACUCCGUGCCAGCAGCCGCGGUAAUACGGAGGGUCCGAGCGUUAAUCGGAAUUACUGGGCGUAAAGCGUGCGCAGGCGGUUUGUUAAGCGAGAUGUGAAAGCCCUGGGCUCAACCUAGGAAUAGCAUUUCGAACUGACAAACUAGAGUCUUGUAGAGGGGGGUAGAAUUCCAGGUGUAGCGGUGAAAUGCGUAGAGAUCUGGAGGAAUACCGGUGGCGAAGGCGGCCCCCUGGACAAAGACUGACGCUC